rnacentral:rRNA from 1 species
AAAGGAAACUUUAGUCGGUACUCGCGAAUGCAUCAGAUGAUGUNAUUGAUCAUGGCUCAGAAUGACCGCUGGCGUAGUGCUAUAACACAUGCAAGUCAGAGACGAGAGCCUGGGGGGCAACUCCCAGAAGAUCAGAGCGGCGAGACGGGUGAGUAACACGAUGGGUAACCUGACCCGAGAUGUGGGGAAUACCAUCGGGGAAAGCUCGAGCGUANAUACCGCGAAUGACAAUCGUCCAGAGGAACGAAAAGAUCCGAUGAGAACGAAUCAAGAGUCGAGAGGGAUCGAAAGGANUCAUCGACGGCAAGCUCUGGAAAUGGGGCCACGNAGCACCAGAGUNUAGCAUAGGUAUGGACAUGGAGGAA